rnacentral:rRNA from 2 species
UCGCUGACGAGUGGCGGACGGGUGAGUAAUGCUUGGGAACUUGCCUUUGCGAGGGGGAUAACAGUUGGAAACGACUGCUAAUACCGCAUAAUGUCUACGGACCAAACGGGGCUUCGGCUCCGGCGCAAAGAGAGGCCCAAGUGAGAUUAGCUAGUUGGUAAGGUAAAGGCUUACCAAGGCAACGAUCUCUAGCUGUUCUGAGAGGAAGAUCAGCCACACUGGAACUGAGACACGGUCCAGACUCCUACGGGAGGCAGCAGUGGGGAAUAUUGCACAAUGGGGGAAACCCUGAUGCAGCCAUGCCGCGUGUGUGAAGAAGGCCUUCGGGUUGUAAAGCACUUUCAGUUGUGAGGAAAAGUUAGUAGUUAAUACCUGCUAGCCGUGACGUUAACAACAGAAGAAGCACCGGCUAACUCCGUGCCAGCAGCCGCGGUAAUACGGAGGGUGCGAGCGUUAAUCGGAAUUACUGGGCGUAAAGCGCACGCAGGCGGUUUGUUAAGCUAGAUGUGAAAGCCCCGGGCUCAACCUGGGAUGGUCAUUUAGAACUGGCAGACUAGAGUCUUGGAGAGGGGAGUGGAAUUCCAGGUGUAGCGGUGAAAUGCGUAGAUAUCUGGAGGAACAUCAGUGGCGAAGGCGACUCCCUGGCCAAAGACUGACGCUCAUGUGCGAAAGUGUGGGUAGCGAACAGGAUUAGAUACCCUGGUAGUCCACACCGUAAACGCUGUCUACUAGCUGUUUGUGACUUUAAGUCGUGAGUAGCGAAGCUAACGCGCUAAGUAGACCGCCUGGGGAGUACGGCCGCAAGGUUAAAACUCAAAUGAAUUGACGGGGGCCCGCACAAGCGGUGGAGCAUGUGGUUUAAUUCGAUGCAACGCGAAGAACCUUACCUA